rnacentral:rRNA from 1 species
AGGACGAACGCUGGCGGCGUGCUUAACACAUGCAAGUCGAGCGAACCUUCGGGUUAGCGGCGAACGGGUGAGUAACACGUGGGCAACCUGCCCCAAGCUCUGGGAUAACCUCCGGAAACGGGGACUAAUACCGGAUAUGACUCUUGAAGACAUCUUCUUGAGUGGAAAGUUUUUCGGCUUGGGAUGGGCCCGCGGCCUAUCAGCUUGUUGGUGGGGUAACGGCCUACCAAGGCGACGACGGGUAGCCGGCCUGAGAGGGCGACCGGCCACACUGGGACUGAGACACGGCCCAGACUCCUACGGGAGGCAGCAGUGGGGAAUAUUGCGCAAUGGGCGAAAGCCUGACGCAGCGACGCCGCGUGAGGGAUGAAGGCCUUCGGGUUGUAAACCUCUUUCAGCAGGGACGAAGCGAAAGUGACGGUACCUGCAGAAGAAGCACCGGCCAACUACGUGCCAGCAGCCGC